UACGAAGGGGGCUAGCGUUGUUCGGAUUUACUGGGCGUAAAGCGCACGUAGGCGGAUCGUUAAGUCGGGGGUGAAAUCCUGGAGCUCAACUCCAGAACUGCCUUCGAUACUGGCGAUCUUGAGUCCGGAAGAGGUGAGUGGAAUUCCCGGUGUAGCGGUGAAAUGCGCAGAUAUCGGGAAGAACACCCGUGGCGAAGGCGGCUCUCUGGGACGGUACUGACGCUGAGACGCGAAAGCGUGGGGAGCGAACAGG
rnacentral:rRNA from 1 species